GCCGGCUUAGCUCAGCUGGUAGAGCACCCGCCUUGUAAGCGGAAGGUCAUCCGUUCGAUUCGGAUAGCCGGCACCA
rnacentral:tRNA from 2 species